UUAACUCAUUUCUAUCAUUUUACACCUAGAAUCAUCAGUUCACUGGUUACUUUUGUCCUUAAAAAUUCCUAUCCUAUUCGAUAUAAAGCAAUACAUCAUGUCAACCUCAAUAUCAUCAUAAAGGCAAUUUUAAGCGUUAUGCUUCCACUUUUAUCAUCUAAACUCCAGAAGAGAAUUCAUCUUCAUUCUGAUAUGGAAUCUCUAUGCAAAUUCAUCAGCCCAGACUGUUUGCCUUCGGAUUA